AAAAAGAAAGAGUGUGUUCAUCUUCCUUACCUUCUUGCAAAGCCGAAACAAAAGAGGAAAGAGGAAGGAAUUUGUCUAGGGCAUUCGGCUAUCUUGGAGGUUAAAUAAGGUAGGAGUUCAUGUUAUUUCUAUUGAUUUUUAUGAGAAUCUAGUAGUAGUCAAGCUCUUAUUGUAACCCAUAUGUUGAUUUUUCUUUAGUUUUGGUGACAAAUUGUGCAUACGGUAUUAUUGGAUAAAUGCUAAAAGGAUGGUGUUUUGAUAUUUUGGAUUGAAAUAUUAGAAAGGGGAAAAUAUGAGCUACCUAAAUAGAUAUAUGUGAAUUUAAAAGAUGGUAUAAACAAAUGUGGAGUUUUGCUAGUUUAGGAUUAUUCGGCCAAGUGUUUAUGUGGUGGAAAUUAAGUGUUAAAUGGAAUGAAAAUGAUAUUAUAUGGGGGUAUGUAUAUUCGGCCAUAUGAGUAAAUAUAUAGAUGAUGUUAAAUUUGAUUAUGUAUAAUGGGCCAUAUAGAGUACACAUUGUGAUAUUAACUUUAAUUCUCUAUAAUUGAUCAAGUGGGUGAUAUUGGUUUAUAUGGCUGAAUUUGAUUUAUGAAUAUGUACCUUGAAAUAAAAUAUAUCAUCGACUAUGUUACUUUGGAAGUAAGAAUGCAUUCGGCCUUGAGACAAUUUAUAAGUAUUAGUUAAUGUUCUAAUGUUUUGAACAAGAAUGGUUGUAAGAUGAAACGAAAAUUAUUAAAAUAUAUAUGAGUAAUUAACAAGGGUGGUUGCCGUGUAUAUAAUAUUUAUGUGUGUUUUAUUGAAAUAUUUAUUGGGUUAAUUUUAGUAAUUGGAUCUUAGGUGAUCAAUAGCUGAAUGGCUUAAAGUUAGUAAAAAGCAUAAGGUGAAUAAAAAUAAAAUGUUGCCGUAUGCUUCUUUUGAUAUGAAACUAUUAAUGUUAUGGGAUAUAAAUAACUAGCAAGGUAAUUAAACUAGUUGAUUUAUUUAUUUAAGCUCAAGAACCUAAAGGAGAGGCGUCCAACAAGGGGAAAUCGAAGGUCAUCGAGUAGCCGACUUGGAAUUAUUUUACCCAACAUAAAGUAAGUCAUUAAGCAUAUAGUUUGUAUUAAUUUAAAUGGUCAUAACGUCUAUGUAAUGAUGCUGAAUGGAAUGAUAAAUAUAUAUAUACAUGUAUGUAUGUGGUGAUGAAAGUGUUGAAUGAAAAGAAAAGAGGUGAGAUGUAUUGAGUUGUUGAUCUCGGCACUAAGUGUGCGGGUAUAAACAUUUAUGAUCAUGAGAUUGGCGCUAAGUGUGCGGGUUUAAAUUGUACAGCACUAAGUGUGCGAGUUUGAUUAUAUAGCACUAAGUGUGCGAGUUGAUUAUAUAGCACUGAGUGUGCGGACUUAAUAUAUACUUUUGAAUCACUAUGGACACUAAGUGUGCGACAUUAUUAAGUUGAUCACAGACAGCGGAUCGGGUAAGUACCUUGAGUUCGUGACUAAUAGGCGCUAUGUUUAUAUUUGAAGUUGAGCUUGGUAAGUUUGAACCUAUGUGACAAUUAUAAUUGAAGUCACGUACAUAAGAUUUAUCGUGGAAUAGGUGAAAGGUCGUUUAGUUGUAUGAUGGUAACGAAAAUAAAAUGAUGUAUGAAAAUGCCUCAAAUAUCCUAUUGACUAGUAUAUGGAAUGUGAAUGCAUGACUUGGUAGGAGAUUGAACCGAUAGAUUUAAGGAACUAUGGUAUGGUUCGGUAUGGAUGGAGUAACUAGCCUCGUUCCAUUUUGUUUCCUCUUGUGAUAAUGUUAUUAAUGGAUGGUAGUGCAUUGCUUAUGACUUACUGAGUUAUAUACUCACUCGGUGUUUCCUUGUCACCUAUUUUAGGUUUCUUGGACUCGUCUCUUUUUGCGUGAUCGGGCCGUCAUCAGAGUCAUCACACCGGCUAGCAACUUUUGGUAUCUUCUUUUUAGUCGGUCUAGGAGAACAUUUCGGCAUGUAUAGGCUAAUAUGUUUUGUUGAAAUUUGGUAUGUAAACUUUUAGCCAUGCGAAAAUGGCAUAAAUGUUCGGUUGGAUUUGGUUUUAUAACGUUAGGUCGUAAGUCUUGGUAAUUCGAUUUUUAUGCCAUAUGUCAUGGCUGAUUAAUUUUGGUGUUAAGAUUCAUGAUAUGGCAAUAGUGUAGUAGGGAGAUGUUUGACAAUGAUUAGCCUUUGGUAUGGCUAGUCAUGAUUAUAAUUUUGUGAUAUGUAUGAUGAAUUACUAGUUAGAUCAAUGAGAAAUCACGAAAUGGGCAUAGUUGCUUCAGUAACAGAUGCUGGCAGCAGCAGUGACGUGGGAUUGAAAAAUUACAAAAAUUAGUAGGAAUGGAAUUAAAUAGUGAAUAAAUUAUGUAAUCGAAGCUCGAUGAGUCUAUUUUCAUAUAGAAGUAACGAAACGAUCAUAUAGACAGUAUGUUAAGAGAUAUUCAGGUUCUCGUGAGACAGGGCCAGAACGGUUUCUGGGUUCCCUGUUCCGACUUUGGAAAUUCAUUAUAAAUUAACCAAAGAUAAUUAGGAGUCAUGCGAUAUAUGUAUAGAUUCCUCUCUGAGUCUAGUUUCUAUAGAAACAAACGGCAUCAGUAUUGAAGCUCUGUGCAGGGAGUUAUCCAAAUCGUAAUGCAUGAAGGUCAGUGUAGUCGUACCCUGUAAUAGGGGAGAAUUUAACUAAUAAAUGUACUAAUUGGCCUGACCAAAAAUUCUACAAAAAUUCUACCAUAUAGGUUUGUGAGUCUAGUUCUAGGGAAAAUUUACGGAACUGGAUUUUGAGUUUCAGAACUCAAGAUAUGAUUUUUAAAGAGACUAGUACGCAGAUUGGCAGCUUGUCUGGGAAAUGUCAAAUAAGUGGUUUGAAGUCUGUUAACACCUCGUGUUCGACUCCGGCGACGGUCUCGGGUUCGGGGUGUUACAAUUUUAUUGGUAUCAGAGCUAUGGUUUAGUCGGUUCUAGGGCUACCAUAGCACGUAUGAGUCUAGCUAUACAUGCCUUAAUGUUAAUGUUUAAAUGUGUGAUGACUUCUGACGGUUAAAAUUUUUGUUUUGAUUAGUAAAUGGAUCCCGGUGUAGAGAGAACCUUGGCGGAUGACGUUGAAAGUGUAGCGGCUGCUCCUGCACAAGGGACGCCGCCUGUUGAACCUCAGUCAUCUGCGAAUAAUCAAGGUGAGGGGGCUAAACAAGCCUUCUUUACCAUGAUGAAUGAGUGGGUCGCGCAAUAUGCCCGAACCAAUCCGGCUAUCCAACAAUUCCCGAAUUUGAAUAAUCCACCCCAAGAGCCCGUAAUGCCAUCAGUCACUGAUCCUAUGAGGCUGAGUAAGCCACCUGUAGACUUGAUUAGGAAGCGCGGGGCUGAGGAGUUCAGGGCCAUAGUUACUGAUGAUGCUGAAAGGGCCGAGUUCUGGCUUGAUAACACCAUUCGGGUGUUUGAUAAACUGUCAUGCACACCCGAUGAAUGUCUAAAGUGUGCUAUAUCCUUGUUGCGGGACUCAGCCUACUAUUGGUGGAGGACCCUGAUUUCCAUAGUCCUAAACGAACGAGUUACUUGGGACUUCUUUCAAACGGAAUUCCGAAAGAAAUAUAUUAGUCAACGGUUCAUUGAUCAAAAGCGCAAGGAAUUAUUGGAACUCAAGCAAGGCCGUAUGACAGUAUCUGAAUACGAACAUGAAUUCGUAAGACUCAGUAGGUAUGCCCGGGAAUGUGUAGCUGAUGAGGUUGCUAUGUGCAAAAGAUUCGAAGAAGGAUUGAAUGAAGAUUUAAAGCUACUAGUGGGUAUUUUGGAGAUAAAAGAAUUCGUGACACUAGUCGAACGGGCCUGCAAGGCGGAAGAACUUGGAAAGGAGAAGAAGAAGGCUGAAUUUGAAGCUAGAGACUAUCGUAAAAGAUCGACGGGUAAAGCUCCGUUCUCAGCUGUAAAGAAGUUCAGGGAGGACACUAAUAAGUCGAGGACGACUGCGGGAAUUUCCAUCAGAGCACGACCAUCGACGGACUCCCGAGCUACUUCGGUAGCUAGUGUGGGCAAUAAUCGUCAAGAGAAACCUGAAUGUCCCCAAUGCGGAAGACGACACUUAGGUGAAUGUUGGGGUAAGUCUACUAACAGGGCCUGUUACGGAUGCGGUUCGAAGGACCACUUUAUUAGAGAUUGCACGGAGCUUGAUGAGAAGAAUAAGAUUCAAGGUGCAAGACCUAGUGGAGUGACAACUAGAGGUAGACCACCGAGAAUUUUAGGAGGUAGGGGUGGUAGUCAGAGAGGGGCCUCUGAUACGGCUGUUCGAGCCGAGAACCGUACUCCUGCUAGAGCAUAUGCCAUUCGCGCACGAGAGGAGGCAUCCUCCCCUGACGUCAUCACUGGUACCUUCACUCUCUUUGAUACUAAUGUGAUUGCAUUGAUUGACCCUGGCUCUACUCAUUCAUAUGUAUGUGAAACCUUAGCAUCCAGUAAGACUCUACCUGUUGAGUCCACUAAGUUCGUAAUUCGAGUGUCAAACCCUUUGGGUCAAUACGUACUUGUUGAUAAAGUGUGUAAGAGAUGUCCUCUAAUAAUCCGAGAAUCCUGUUUUCCGGCCGAUUUGAUGCUUUUGCCGUUUGACGAAUUUGAUGUUAUUCUUGGUUUGGAUUGGUUGACCGCGCAUGAUGCGGUUGUGAAUUGAAAAAGAAAGACUAUUGAUUUGAGGUGCGCAAAUAACGAGAUAAUCCGAGUUGAGUCUACGGACUUAAGGGGGUUACCAGCUGUAAUAUCAGCAAUGUUGGCCCAGAAAUAUGUAAGAAAAGGGUGCGAAGCAUACCUUGCGUAUGUACUUGAUGACAAAGAAUUAGAAAAGAAACCCGAAUCUGUGCCGGUGGUUUGUGAAUACCCGGAUGUUUUUCCUGAAGAGUUACCGGGUUUGCCACCUGUUCGGGAGAUAGAGUUUGGUAUUGAGCUUGUACCUGGAACUACGCCAAUUUCGAUAGCUCCGUAUCGUAUGGCACUAACCGAGUUAAAGGAAUUGAAAGCUCAAUUGCAAGAGUUGACGGAUAGAGGUUUCGCUCGACCAAGUUUCUCACCUUGGGGUGCACCAGUAUUGUUCGUGAAAAAGAAGGACGGAACCAUGAGGUUGUGCAUUGACUAUCGUCAACUGAAUAAAGUGACGAUAAAGAAUAAAUAUCCAUUACCGCGUAUUGAUGAUUUGUUUGAUCAACUAAAGGGAGCCUCAGUGUUUUCAAAGAUAGAUUUGAGAUCGGGUUAUUAUCAGUUGCGGAUUCGAGAUUCGGACGUACCCAAAACUGCUUUCAGAACGAGGUACGGUCACUACGAGUUCUUAGUGAUGCCGUUCGGGCUCACUAAUGCCCCUGCGAUAUUUAUGGAUUUGAUGAAUCGGAUCUUCAGACAGUAUUUAAACCGGUUCGUAGUUGUGUUCAUUGAUGACAUCUUAGUCUAUUCAGGAGAUGAGACCGAACAUGCUGAGCACCUGAGAUUAGUGUUGCAAAUUUUGCGGGAUAAGAAGUUAUAUGCUAAGUUCAGUAAGUGUGAGUUCUGGUUAAGAGAGGUUAGUUUCUUGGGUCAUGUGGUAUCCGCAUCGGGUAUUCGAGUUGACCCGAGCAAAAUUUCAGCCAUACUUAACUGGAAGCCUCCAAGAAAUGUUACCGAAGUUCGGAGCUUCCUGGGGCUCGCCGAUUAUUACCGACGAUUUUUAAAAGGUUUCUCGAUGAUAGCCACACCAAUGACGAAGCUACUUCAAAAGGAUGCUAAGUUCGAAUGGACGGAGAAAUGUCAGAAAAGCUUCGAUCAACUGAAAACUCAUUUAACUGAAGCUCCAAUUUUGGUGUUAAGAUUCAUGAUAUGGCAAUAGUGUAGUAGGGAGAUGUUUGACAAUGAUUAGCCUUUGGUAUGGCUAGUCGUGAUUAUAAUUUUGUGAUAUGUAUGAUGAAUUACUAGUUAGAUCAAUGAGAAAUCACGAAAUGGGCAUAGUUGCUUCAGUAACAGAUGCUGGCAGCAGCAGUGACGUGGGAUUGAAAAAUUACAAAAAUUAGUAGGAAUGGAAUUAAAUAGUGAAUAAAUUAUGUAAUCGAAUCUCGAUGAGUCUAAUUUCAUAUAGAAGUAACGAAACGAUCAUAUGGACAGUAUGUUAAGAGAUAUUCAGGUUCUCGUGAGACAGGGCCAGAACGGUUUCUAGGUUCCCUGUUCCGACUUUGGAAAUUCAUUAUAAAUUAACCAGAGAUAAUUAGGAGUCAUGCGAUAUAUGUAUAGAUUCCUCUCUGAGUCUAGUUUCUAUAGAAACAAACGGCAUCAGUAUUGAAGCUCUGUGCAGGGAGUUAUCCAAAUCGUAACGCAUGAAGGUCAGUGUAGUCGCACCCUGUAAUAGGGGAGAAUUUAACUAAUAAACUGUACUAAUUGGCCUGACCAAAAAUUCUACAAAAAUUCUACCAUAUAGGUUUGUGAGUCUAGUUCCAGGGAAAAUUUACGGAACUGGAUUUCGAGUUUCAGAACUCAAGAUAUGAUUUUUAAAGCGACUAGUACGCAGAUUGGCAGCUUGUCUGGGAAAUGUCAAAUAAGUGGUUUGAAGUCUGUUAACACCUCGUGUUCGACUCCGGCGACGGUCUCGGGUUCGGGGUGUUACACAUUGGGUAUGUUGAUGCUGAUUUUUCUGGAGACCUUGUUAGAAGAAGAUCUCUCACAGGUUAUGUUUUUACAAUCGGAGGUUGUGCAAUUAGUUGGAAAGUCGCUUUGCAAACUACAGUCGUUUUGUCUACCACUGAAGCUGAGUACAUGGCAAUUACUGAGGCUUGUAAAGAAGCUAUCUGGUUGAAGGGACUCUUUAGUAAACUCAAUAAAGACCUUCAAAUCACUACAGUAUUUUGUGACAGUCAGAGUUCAAUCUUCCUUACAAAAGAUCAAAUGUUUCAUGAGAGAACAAAACAAAUUAUGUUCGGUAUCAUUUUCGGUAUCAUUUUGUUCGUGAUAUUAUUGCUCAUGGAGAUAUUGUUGUGAGCAAAAUUAGUACUCAUGAAAAUCCUACAGAUAUGAUGACUAAGUCACUUCCUAUAACCAAGUUUGAGCAUUACUUAGACUUUGGUUGGUGUCCAUUGUUGAAGUUAAACCCUUAAGAGGUUUUAUGGAAGAGGUGGAGAACUUGUUCGUUGAGAGUUCGCGAUGAAGAACUUGUUCAUUGAGAAUCAUGUCAAGGUGGAGAUUGUUAGAUUUAAAUGACCCGAAUCAUUAUUUAAAUAAAAUACAAUGGUAAAAUAAAAUAAAAGUAAAAUCCAUAUAGAACUACACUUCUUUUAUUUUAUUUUAGAAUAAGGUUUUUUAAACCUUAUUAAACUCCAUCUAUUUUAUAUUGAUUAGAAUAAGGUGUUUCAGUCUUACUAGAAUAUGGCUUUACAAGCCUAUAAAUAGACAUAAUCUAUUCUUCUUGUAAUGAUUCGAAUUCGACAUAGUGAAUUUUUUUCCCCUCUGCCUGUGAUUUUUUUCCCGAAAGGGUUUCCACGUAAAAAUCUGUGUGUUCUUUAUUUUAUUUUGUUUUAUUUUAUUUUUCACAAAAAUUGAGAGAGCAAAAAAAAAUAGUGAAUUUAAGUGGGUAUUAAUAAUGUGUGAGAGAGAUGAGAUUGAAUUGAAAAAAAAAUGAAAUGGGAGGGGUUAUAGGAAAAUAAAAUUUGACUGUUUGAGGGUGUCUAACAACUAAUUAAAUAGUUGUUAUUUUUUAUUGUUAGGGGAAAAACGCUUCCAGCUAGAAGUAUUUUCAAAUGACUUAGCAGAAAGCAAUUCUAACUAGAAGCAUUUUCCAUACAACAUGCUGAAAACGCUUCCAAUUGAAAGUAUUUUCUUGCAAAUUGGAAGCGUUUUCCAAAAAAUAGCUUAUUUCGAUAAUUUUUUUCCAAAAUCGGUCUAUUCAAGUAAUAUUUUUUUGACAUUUAUUGAUAAAUUAAUCUUUUAAUUGACCAAAGUUAAUAUAAUUUUCCCAAGAUUCAAAAAGAAAAUUAUUUAAAAAAAGGCGGAGGAGAUUGUUUUACAAUGGUAAAAUGGGCAUUGUAUAUAAUUUACCUCCUGACCGUCAUUAAGACCUUUUCCUUCCUCGUCUCAUCCACGAUUUAUCUGCUUUUUCUUCUUUCAGAGGCAUUCCUUCAGGUAAAUCUCAAAAAUCAAGUUUCCCUUUUUUAAACUUAUUUAAUCAUAUACAAAAUUUCACUUCUCUAUAUAUAUUUUGUAAAAUUUAUUUUUAGAUCUGUUUCUUUUUCUUCCUAUUUUUUUUGCUGUUAAGAACAAUUCUGUUUUUAAGUCAAAUUUCAAAGUGUCUAUUCAAUAGUUAUGAUUAGUUUUUAGCUGUAACACUUGAAUUUCCCUUCUGGGUAUUUCAUUCUUAUUUGUUACACCUUAAUUAAUCCCUGAUAUUUCGGAUCUUCUUUAUAACUCUCUGAAUCUGAUAUAUAUAAAUAUAAAUUAUAAUAUAUUUUACGCAGACAUAUAAAUGCUAAAUUUAUUACAAUUUUACCUCCAUAGCAACCUGUGAUCACUGAUUUUUAAGGUCUGGGCCUAGAUCUGUGUUUCUAUUUAUGUUUUCCAUUUUGGGUUUGACCUUUUUUUUUUGUUUGGAUGCUGUGAAAAUGAAGGAAACUAAAGGGGGAAAAAAUAUAAAUUGUCUGUUUCUAUAUCUUAAUUCAAUCUUUUUUCUUAGAUCUGGUUGUUGACUUCUUUUUUGUAAUUAAUUAUUUGAAUGUUAGAUUUUUGAGGAAGAUGAAUCACUACAAUCUUCAGCAGAAUCCCGUUGCCGUUUCCGCUUACGAGGAGAUGGGAGGGUUUAUCUCUUCAAUAUCGGAGCAUCAUAGGGCCGGCCCCGUUGUUUGCCCUAAGCCUCGGCGAAUUGGGGUUCUCACCAAUAACCCUAUCAAGCCCUUUAGAUUGCAUAUGAGGUAUAAUUUUUCUUUUCUCUUUCCUUUGUGUUUUUCCCCCUUUUCUCUAAUUGGACUUUUGGUUGAUUUGAUUUGCUUGCUUUUAUUAAUUUAGUUUUUUGGUUUUCAAUUCCAGUCACCAAGCCGAUGUAAGUGAAUCGAAAGCCAGUGCAGAACUUCUAGAUAUCAUCCUCAACAAGGUAAUCACUGAAUCUCAAGUAUUAUAAAAAAGUGAAAAUACUAAUGUUAUAUACAUAUUGCUUUUUGAUAGUUGCUAUGGUUCUUAAAAGUAUUUGCGUCUUGCACUUCUAUCCGGAUAAACGACUAUACGAAAACGCUUCUAAAAGUCGGAUAUAUAUUUUCUUCCAGUUUGGAGUAAUAUAGGAGUUUUGCAUUUUUGAGGUUUGAGUUAUGUGUGUUAAUGUUUUUGUUUCUAGGAUGGACUUGUUUUAACGUGUUGUUUUGUUUCGGUUUUUGUAGGGUGAUUUAUGGGCAGAGCAAUCUGCAGCACAGGUAGCAUCUUCACCCCCAUUUUUUUGUGGUUCGCCCCCAAGUAGGGCCACGAACCCAGUUGUGCAAGAUGCUCGAUUUGGUGAUGAAAGAGUUGCAGCCCUUUCAGCAUCGCAAAGUCCAUCUCCGUCGCAAUCGGCACAUAAAGGGGGAUGUGUUAGGAUGUCGUUUGGGCUAAAACCAGCGGCAAUUAGAGUAGAAGGAUUUGAUUGCCUUAACAGGGAUAACCAAAAUUCCAGAAUCCCGGCUAUGGCUUAGAACUAGAGUGUACAUAAAAGGCCACCGUCCGGGUGAACAAAGCAGGGAUGAAUUAGGGAAAUAUGGAUUAUUUUUGGGGAGAAAGAGAUUGACUUGUGUGUAGUAGUGUAUAUAUGAUGUGGUUUUUGGUCUGGUAAAAUCUAAUAGAUUGCUGGGAUGGAAGGGAAGGCAAAUGUGAAAGGAUUGGAUUUUCAGGGGAUUGAGCAAAUGAUGAUGAAUUAGGGGAUUAAGUUUUGAAUGAUUGAUGGAGCAUUUUUGUAAUAUAAAUGAUUUGAUAUUUUGAUUUUGUAAAUCACCAUGGAGAAGAGCAGGGGAAGUUGUGUAUAGAUCCUAUUGGUGAUUGAAUUUUGUUCUGUAAUUUAUGAUUCAAUAAUUGUCAAUUUUUCUUCUUAUGACAUAUUGAGCAUCAUAUUUAUGUUUUAUCAUAUGAUAGCAACCGACAUGGUUCCUGAUGAUGGUCAUUGCAGGCACAUCCCCUCUAUAAAUCCCAUUGGGAGUGCAAUUUCCAUUUGCUUCAUGACUGGUUUUGACCUUAGCAGCUACACAAGAACCCAUUGCAAAACCUUCCGAAUCCCUUAUAGCAGCAGCUAUGAUUGAACAUGAUUUUUUGUGAGUCACUUUUUAGUUUAAUUAUACUUUUGAAAUUUAGUGCUUUUGCUUUUAAUUUUUUUAAAUUACUCAUUUUAUUUUUUAAAAUUUAAUAAUUAAAAUUCAGUUAAUAAGGGGGUUAAGGAAUUUCAUUAAAUUAGAUAAUAUGCCGUUUUAUUUUAAAAAUGGUUCAUUUGGCUGGUUGAAAGACGCGUAGAAAUCAUGUAAGCAAAAAAAAUAAAUAAAAAAUAAUAAACUUUAAUCUCUUUCGUUGAAAGAGUCUGAAGAAACUUACCAUCUUUAAUUUAGAAUUGAAACCUUAUAACUCUAUAUUUAAUAUUGUUUUUUUUUUUUUUGCUUAUUUAUGUUUGCAAUAUUAGAUACAUGAGUAUUUUUAAAAUGUUAUAUAUCUCACAUUCUUUUAGUGAUAUUUUUAAUUGAUUUUCAAUUAUUAAAUUCCUAGAAUUAAUAUUUGUUAGAGAUUGGCCUAUAUAAAUAUCGAAAUAGAAAAUGUAUAGAAAAUUGAACACAUAAAUAUUUACGUGGAAAACCCUCAUUUAAGAGGAUAAAAGUCACGAGCAAAGAAGGCUUCGACUUUUUACUAGAUGAGUAAACAAACGAGGGUACAAGAUGAAGAAAAUAAAUCUAAAUGUAUUAAACGUACAAACUCAAAUCUCGAAAACAAAGCCCUAACUUGGGAAUAAAAUUCUCUCCAUAGUUACCACGAAAACCCUCAUUAAAACUCAUUUGCAACUACAUAUUGUUGCCCCCAAAAGAAAAGUUCUAUAGUACUACAUCUUUAUUUGUCUUUCUAAAUUAGGGAUACAAUGACCCCUUUAAAUAGACUAAGUUUAAAAAGUUGAAAUGACUAAAAUAUCCCUAAAGUAAUUAAAGUUCGACUAGGAAAAUAUAACAGAGUUUAACUAAGAGAAGAAACUUGGUAUUUGUGGGAAACAUGUCGCCACGUCACAACGUCAUCAUUCGCGUUGUCACGAAGUCGUUCGUCAUCACGACGUUGGGAAGCUUCUCAUCGUGACGUCAUCAGCUGAAAUUGGUAAGUGCCUGCAAGCUAUCCGAUAAAUACGAGACACACCCUACAAACCUCCACCUUAACUCGUAUUUAACGUACCUUCUUCUCCAAGCCCUGCCACAUGUAGAACUCGAUCUUUGCAGAAUGUCAACCAAGCCUAAACCGUUCUCGAACUUGGAAACCGAAAGACUCCCUAGUCUUCAAAUCAAGGUUGUAUAAUGCAACCAAUGCCAAUGAUACCCGAACGGAUGUGUGCUUCACAACAAGAGAGAAAGCAUCGAGGAAAUCAACUCCCUCCACUUGACCGUCACCCUUUGCGACCAACCUUGCGUUAAACACUUUUCUUUAUUCUAAACUGCUACAAUAUGAAAUCUAUGAUUUCAUCAAAAUUUUCAAUAUCGAAAUUCGUUGUUAUUAUACUUGAAUGGGUCGAUUACAAGAACAUAACCUAGCUCUGAUACUAGUUUGUUGAGGAUCGACCUGUAUAAACAACGAACAAAAUUCUAAUUUUAUGUAUGAUUUAGUGGUUAAAAGAUAUUGAUUUAAUUUAGAUUUAAAGAAUUAGGUAAAUUUUUAUUUAGAUAAUACUCUUUGAACGGAGGGUGUGCGUAUAUAGUGUGAGUAUAUAUUUUUUUUGCAAUAGUUUAUAAUAUUGGUAAUAAUAAUAUUUUAUUAUGUAAAAAAAUUAUAAUUAUUUAUCAAAUAAUUGUAUUGUAAAGAUUAAAUUUUUGUAUAUAAAGUUAUAUUAUAAAACAAACAUAACAUUAUAAAAGGAUAUCUCAUUAAAAUAUAUAUCCUUAUGAAAUGAUAUAUUUGGAUGUUUAUAUAAACCGCUUUUUUAUUAAUAUUUUUAUUAUUUUACUUGAAGUGUUGAUGUUUAUAUAAACUGUUUUUUUAUUAAUAUUUUUAUUAUUUUACUUAAAGUGCUGAUGUAAUUUAAAAAUAUUUUAAAGUUUUAAAAAAAAUGUUUUACAUGUUUUAAACCAUUAUUAUAUUUCUUAUUUUACUUUCCCUAUUUAAUUUUUCUAAUAUAUUCCUUCCACGUGUGUAUCAACCUAACUGUAUAGUAUAAAUAUAAGAAAAACAAAAACAAAAAUUCACUCACCACUACAACCACACCCAUAAGCAGCUUUAGACAAUUUUGACUCUUACAAGUUCGUGAAAGCAUAAUUUAGAAGGGAUUUAUAUAAAUUGUUGGAAAAUAAACACAACGAUAAUUACAUAUUAUUAUUUACUAUCAUAAUAGGUUAGUCCAAAUUUAAAAGUGAUUUAAUUUGAUUACGGUUUAUUGUGCUUUAAUUAUUAAAUAAAAUAUAGAUCAAAUAUGUGUAGAUAUUCUAGUAACUAAUUUUUAAUUGAUGAUGGGCUGAUUAGAGAUUAGGGCUAAUAUGCCAAAGUUAUAUAUAUAUGUGUAGGGUUAUGGUCUCCAAAUUACAUAUAAAGUAAUUUUUCUAAUAUCCCAUCUUUAGAAAAGGUGAGUCACCUUCUCUAAUUACUUGUGUGCUAAUUUGGAAGACCAAAACCCUAAGAUCCGUAGAUUUCAAGAAAUCGAUGAAUUCAGGUACGCUUUCGCAUCUAGUUUUGUUCUUAAUUUAUUCUUGAUAAUUUGACAUGACGAAUCUUGCUUUACAGUUCUAAUUUUAUAUUAAAUAUUAUUUAUGGUUCUAACAAGUGGUAUCAGAGCUUCGUCAUGUCAUGUUGAAUUAUUGGGAAUGAAUUGAUUAUUUAUUAUUUUUGGAUUGAUUCGUUUUUCUUUUUUUAAUUUUAUGGAUUUGAUAUUUUAAUUAUAUACUAUGUUGAAUCUUUAAAUUCUUAAUAAAAUUUUUGAGUUUGGAUUCUUUAAAUAAAGUUUUAGGAUUUUAUAAAUAUAAUCUAGUUUAAUAUUUGAAUAUAUUAUUCGAAAGACAAAGGUUUAUUUAUUUAUUUAUAAUUAAAUGAUAAAGUUUGAUUUGUGGGAUUUCUUUCUCUUCUCUUCGCACAAUUAUUUUAUAAAUUUUGGUUAAAGUCAUUAUUAGAUUAAAGUUACAGACUUAUAACUUUUUGUAAUUGAAGAAUUUCAAUUGGGUUGUAUAAUUGGUUUUGAAUGUUAAUUCGCUUGAUAAUCGAAUGAAUGAAUGUUGUUAAGAUAUUUUUUUUCACACUAUUUAUUUUAAAUUUUCUGUUUGUGGUUGAAUGUAUAUGGAAUUAUCAUAUUUUGUCUUUAUUCAUAAUGAAUUAUAUUCACGAUUGAAUUCAAUUCAUAUAUACGAAUGAUUAUUUUUGGUUUCUGUUAUAAUUAUUUUAUAUAAGUUUUACUCAUUAUGGAACUGACUAAAAUUAAAACAUUUGGGUUUUUUUUAUACGGUGGCUAUGAAUUUUCAUAAGUAGUUGCGCAUAUGAAGGCCUUUAUACAAAUUGAGAUUUUUUUUUUAUAUUUGGUAGUUAUGGAUUUUUUUAAGUGUUUGUGCGUAUAAAGAAGUUUUAUGAUAAUGUCUUUAGUCAUGAAUAUAAAUUUGAGUUUACAUUAAAUAUGUAAGGCAAGUCAAUAUUAUUUUUCUAUUAUUAAAUCGUGUAUAUGCAUAUAUUAUAUGCAUAGCAAUGAUUUUGAGGAUUAAUACAUGAUCAUAAUUUGUGUGGAUAGGUGUUUAUAACCAUUAUUCAAUAAGAUAUCUUUUAUAGUUUAAUUUGUGACAUUAAGUUUUGAUGGAUAUCAUUGAAGUUGUUAAACUUUUUUUCUUGUUAUGGUUAUAUAUUCAAAUUUAUGUGUGCUUUGAUGCAAAUUCAUGUAAACUAUAUACAUGUUUAAAUAAUUUGGUUUUAAGUUUGGUUCUACAACAUUAGGUUCUGGCAUAUUAUGGUUCCAAUAUUUAGUUAAAUUAUGUUGAUAUGGUCUACAAUAUGAACUAUGGGAUAUAUCAACUAUUAUAAUUUUGUUUUUUAGAUUUAUUAGCUUGAAUGUAUUUUUCAAGUAUUCAUGCAAAUCUCUAUUUAAUCAUUAAUACAAUUUUGGAUUUACAUGGUAUAAGCAUGUAUAAGUUUUUUUAUCUGAUUUUGAAUACAUGUAUAUGUGUGAGUUACUUUGGUGUUUUUUUCUAUGCUAAAAGAGAGAGCCACAUUCUCAAGAUUACUUGUAUGCUAAUUUAGAAGAUCAAAACCCCGAGAUCCGUAAAUUUCAAGAAAUCGAUAAAUUCAAGAAUGCUUCCGCAUCUAAUUUUGUUCUUUUAAUUUAUUCUUGAUGAUUUGGCAUGACAGAUUUUAAUUUACAAUUCUAAUUUAUAUUAAAUAUUAUUUACUGUUCUAAUAUAAAUACCAUUGAGUAUUUUGCAAAUAACAUAAAAUUCUUAUAUUUUCACCCAACACAAAUUUAACAUCUUUUUUCAUUCGAAUUUAACACUAUAUUUUAUAUGAGAGAAAAAAUUGGGAUUUAUAUAAAUAUACAAUAUUAUGAGUUAUAAAAGUAUAAAAAGAAAACAAAUGCAAUUAUUGGUAGGUCUACAUUUAUGGUCCCGAAAAUAAAUUUAUAGGAGCCUUAAAAACUUCUCAUGUAUCCUUAGGGUAAAUAUGAGACCACUCAUUUUCUUACUACUAUUAUUUUAUUUUUUCUCAGUAUUCCAUUGGAUGGAUUUAUUCUGGUUGUUUCUUCUCAAAUAUAUAAGAUAUUUCAGUAACCUGCGAAAUAUUUUCUUUUUCUAAUUUGAUAUAUAUUUUUCCUUACAUAUGAGAGUAGGGUUAGUUUAAUAAUAUUUUUUAAAAGUGUAGUUGAAUUAAAAAGUAGUUUUGAGUUAAAGUUAAAAUUCUGUUCCUAUUUUUGGUAAGAAAAGUAUUUUUUUAAAGGAUAUUUUAUCUCAAAAAUACUUUUAAAAAACUUAAAAGUAUCUUGUUUAGAAAUAUUUUUAUUUUAAAAAAUAUUUUUUAUCUUUAAAAAAUACUUUUGAGAAGCAAUGUUAAACUUACCUUAAGACGUAAAUAAAAAAUUUUGAUGAUUGAGAAUAUUUUAAUGUGUAUUUUAAAAUUUUAGAUAAUUACCAUUUAACAGAAUAAAUACUUUAAUUUUUUUUAAAAAAAACACAUCUUAAAAUGAAAAAAAAAGAAAAAAAAAGAAGACUUUUAUUGUUCUUUUCUUUAUCUUUUAUGUAUUGCUUCUCUAAUCUUAACAUUUUUAGGCUAAACAUGGUAGAGAAAUAAUUAUGAAUUUUGUUAACAUCAGUUAUAAUGUUAUUUGCGACUUAAGAAAAGGCCAAAAGUCGACAAAAUAUUAUAAUUUACUUCACAUGUAUAUAUUUACAUAUUUUUGAGUAAAUUACAAUACUGAAAAACAUUGAAUUAAGUGAAAAAUUUCAAAUAAUCUUUAUGUAAUAUGCCAACCUCGUUUAAAAGAGAUUGAUUUAAGAAAAUCUCUUUUAUUAUAUUUUAUAAUAAAUUAUUUAAUUAGAAUAAGAUUUUUCAUAUUUAUUUCGAUCACAUUUACUCUUUUACAAAUUAUUAUAAUGCCUAUUUAAAUGUAUUUUCGAGUUUUUUUAGAGGAGUUGAGAGAGUAUUUAUUCUGUUUAUGUUACAAAUCUAUUUGAGUAUAAAUUCUUUGUAAGUAAUUUGUUUUUACUGAUUAAUUUAUAACUAAAUCUUUUGUGAAAUUUUAAUGUGAGAGUAAGUUGAAUUUAAAUUAUUAUCUUAUUAUUUAAGUAAGAUCUUAUAAAUGGAGAAAUUUUUUAAACCGUGCCAAUAAAUUUUUAAUGUCAAUUUUUGAGCAAAACCUUAUAGAUGGUAAAAUUUUUUGAAUUACGUUAGUGUCAUUUUUAUAUUUUCUAUUCCUAAUUACUUAUUCGAAUUGCAAUUUAACCAAUAUUUAAACUAAUAUCUGAUAGGCAAAUUUCUUUUUAGAGUUGUAUUCCAAUUAUUGGCGCACUUCGACUGAGAGGGAGAGGGAACAAUUCUUAUCUGAAUUUCUCCAUCUUUUGGUUCCACCACAAAUGUAGCUAUCCUUAAUAUUAGGUUUUCUUUUUCUUUUUUAUAGAAAAGAGAACGAAAAUUAUAGUCCACUAAUUAAGCACCAAUUAUAAAACAAAAAUUCCUAACCCUUUUGAGUUACAAAUUUUGAAAUGAAAUUGAGUUUAAGAACAUAGAGCUACUAAUAUUAUUCAAUAUUAUAAUUAAUAUGCAUCAUUAUGGUUUUCCUUUUCCAUGUUGGGUUAAAAACUAAUAAAGAUAAUCAUAAUUAUUAUUUUUAAAAUAAUAAUAAAUUCAAUUCUUAAUAUUUAUUCUUUUUUAUUAUUUUAGUUGUUUUUUUUUUUGAUAUUUUACCAUCCAAUCUUGAAAAUUAGUUAAAUUGCUCUUUUUAGAUGGAAAAAGUGACUAGAUUUUUUAAAUUUAAAUGGCAUUGAUGCAAUAGUUGCGAGAUGUAAUUUAUAAAAUUAAAAAAAAUAUUUUAAAAAAAAUCAUAAUUUUUUUAAAAAAAUUAUCCACAUAAACAAUAAUAUAUAUAUAAACUGUCAUACAGAUUGUUACAUAGUGUCAUUAAAAAUUUAAUAGUUCCUUCAAAUUUUCUAUUCAAAGCAAACUAAUAUUUGACUUUUAAAAAAAAAUUUAGAGUGAAAAUGAUAAAAUAAAAAUAUAUUAUAUAUUAAAUUUAUCAUUAUUUUUUAAAUUAAGUUCAAAGAUAUCAACUAAAACUUAUGUAAUGCAAAUCAUUUGUCACUAUACCAAUAGUGAUUUUAAUAUUUAACGAGGAAAUAGAUUGAAUGCUGAAUAUAUACAUUUGAAUUUAGCCUUUUUAAGUUGUUAUUUUAAUGAUAGAAACUUGUGAUGUUAUAAUAAAACAAUUUAAUAAAAAAUGGUUUGUUAGGUGUGUUCCUAUGUACUAAGAUAAUGAGCCUCCAACAGCACAGCGUUGCUUGUCCACAAAAUCUUUAUCCUCUUAUUUUAAAGCCAGACCACCCAAUCGCCUUUUUCUUUUUUAAUUUUUAUCCUAUCUUAACAUGAAUAUCUUAGCACUGGAAAUUAAGGAAGAACUGGAUUCAAGAAAUAUGGCAAGAAACUACCUUUUUAUUCAUUAGUUCUCAGCCGUUCCAUUGGAAAUCCAAAACAAAACAAAGAGAAAGACCCCAAGCCAAAUACCUCAAUUAAAAAAGAAAAAGAAAAAGGGGGGGUUUUGAGGGGCUUAAUUUAAGUACAACUUUGAAACAAAUGGAAUUCCUAGGAGGGAAGUAAACAACUUAGUAGCCUUUAGGCUUGUAGGCAAUGAAACUAAUGCACUGCACUUGACGAACGUUGUCGAACCCAAUGAUUCUAAUGAAUGCAUUGGGGUAUUCCUUCUUGCAAUUCUCAAGCUCCUCCAACACCUGAGCCGAGUCAGUGCACCCAAACAUGGGCAGUUUCCACAUGGUCCAGUAGCGUCCAUCGUAGUACGUGGGUAAGCUCGAGUACUUACGGUGCACGAAUCCCUCCUGCACAUACAUAUAAAACACAUUUAAUCAAAUCAAAUAUCCCACUAAAAAAAUAAAGUGUUGGAAAGGAAUAAUUUAGAGCUCGAAAACACCUCUAAUUCGAAUUCCAAGCAAGGAAUCCAUUUAGAGCGAAGAAGGUAAUCUACUUCCUUAGCCAACUGUACGGGUGUAAGAUCGGGGAGGUAUGAGAGUGUCUCGAACUUCUUCUUCCCAAGAGGAGGCCACACCUAUACUCAAAAGCCAAGAUAUAUAUUUGAUUCAAUUUAUGUAAUUUGUUGUGUUCAAACAAUUGGGGUAAUUUAAGUUGUAUUUAUGCAUCACCAAGUACCUGCAUGCAUUGCACUCUCCCACCAUUGCUUGCAAGAGAAGUGAUGUCGUUGUUGGCCUUCCUAGUGACUGGGAAAGCAGAGGCAGACUUGAGGCCGGUGAAGGGGGCCACCAUGUUGGCCUGUGCCGGGGAGGAGCAGUUCACGGUGGCAAUGGUUGCCGAUGAGAUCAUGGAGGAGGCCAUUGCUAUUACUGCUUACUAGUACUAUAUGCUACAGUUAUACAAAAGAGUCUCACUGAUCCCUUAAUA
rnacentral:lncRNA from 1 species